AAGUCGUAACAAGGUUUCCGUAGGGUACGUCUAAUUUCCCCUCCCCCAUGGGCUUUGCCCUGUUAUUAAAGAUUAUAUACUAACGUUUUCCUCUAGUGAACCUGCGGAAGGAUCAUUAAAAGAGAUAGGGCCCCCUUCGGGGGUCCGACCCUCCAAACCCCUUUUGAUGAACUUACCCAUGUUGCUUUGGCGGGACGAGCCCCCGGGCUCCGCCGGCUUCGGCUGGUGCGCGCCCGCCAGAGACCCAUACAAACUCGUUUGAAACAAUGAAGUCUGAGUAAAUAUUUAAUAGCUAAAAAG
rnacentral:misc_RNA from 1 species